rnacentral:tRNA from 1 species
GAGGGUAUAGCUCAGUGGUGGAGUUCAUGCUUGGCAUGUACGAGGUCCAGGGUUCAAUCCCCAGUACCUCA